CCCUGGCCUCUCUCCCUCCCUCGCCAGAUCCACCUCUCCCACACCUAACCCGACGACCCCGUAGGAGCACGCCACCGUCCACCCGCGCCCGCUCCACUGCCCUGCCUCCUCGGCCCCCCUCCCCACUUGCCCCCUCGCACUUCCCCUCGCCCUCUCCGCCAUCUCCUCUACCUCAGAGCCCAGAAAGCCUCGCGCUUCCCUGCUCUCGCGCGAAGAGGUGGCUCCGAGAAGCCGAGCUCCAUUGCCGCAGAGGGUAGCAGCGCCGCGCAGCCGUGAGUACUAGGGAGGAGCGCCCCGGCGGACUGGAGAUCUGCUGCUGCGAAGUGCCGCAAUGGGCCAGGGAGGAGCGCCACCACAGAUUGAGGAAGGCCGCCUCCCGGACCGAGCUCCUCACACCACCGUAGAUCAAGGAGGACCGCCGCCCCGACCGAGCUCCUUCCUCAUGCCGCCCGCCUCUCCCCGACUUCGGCGCGCUAGCCCCUAGGGAUUUUGAUUUUGAGGUGGUGUGAGUGUUAGGGUUUUCUUUGCUUUCUUGGAGGUGCACUCAGUGAGGCUUCUGUGCAUAGAGAUGCAGUCAUAUGUCGUGUACAAGGG